AAAAAGGAUAAUCAAACUUCCCCCAACUCAUCUGGAGAAGAGAGGAUAAAAAGCCAAAUUGGAGAAUUUAACUCAAAAGCCGAAGGGAGAGAAAGGAAAGGAAAAGUUGGGAAUUGAUGGAAGAAAAGGAUCCACAGGUGUUGAAUCCCUCUGCUACAUACAAAUAUACAUACUUGGCAAUGAAAACUUGACCCUACUCAGAAAAUUGAGAACUAUCCAGUUUUGAAGCAGCUAGCUUGUCCAAAAACCAGACCAACUUCCCUUUCGUUGGCUGAACCAUCCGAGCAGGCAGAGGUGGGUGGUCAGGUCCCACAUCAUCGAUUGCCAAGUGGACUGCCUCUGCUUUGUCCUCACCUGCUACAACCACUGCCACAUUUGACGCUGAGUUUAUUACAGGCAGAGUGAAAGUGAUCCUCUCAGGUGGGGGCUUGGGGGAAUUAGUAAUAAAAGUUACCCAUUCAUU
rnacentral:misc_RNA from 1 species